GUAGUCUCGCACAGAUGCAUAUCAAUAAGCGGAGGAAAAGAAACUAACAAGGAUUCCCUUAGUGACGGCGAGUGAAGCGGGAAGAGCUCAAAUUUGAAAUCUUCAAGGUUUUACCUUGACGAAUUGUAGUUUAAAGAAGUGUUUUCUGUUGAAGUUUUGGUAAAAGUUCUUUGGAAUAGGACAUCAUAGAGGGUGUGAAUCCCGUAUUUGACCAUUAUUUUCAGCUGUGUGAUACACUUUCAAAGAGUCGGAUUGUUUGGGAAUGCAGUCCAAAAUGGGUGGUAAAUUUCAUCUAAAGCUAAAUAUUGGCGAAAGACCGAUAGCGAACAAGUACCGUGAGGGAAAGAUGAAAAGAACUUUGAAAAGAGAGUUAAACAGUACGUGAAAUUGUCAAAAGGGAAGCGUCUGACACCAGUGUUGUUUUCUCGAAAAUCAAUUAAAAAGAGUUAGAUUUUGUUGUGUAUUGACCUUAACAGCUUGCAUUUCAAUUUUCUUGCUUUUUUUAAUGCACUUUUCGUUUAACAAGUCAACAUCAGUUUCUUUUGUUGUAAAAAGGUCAUUGGAAGGUGGCUUUCUUUUCGGAGAAAGUGUUUAUAGCCUUUGACUCCUGCAAUCGGAGAGACUGAGGUCUGCAGCGUAGAUCCUUCGGGGUUAGAUACAUUUGUGCUAAGUUAUAGCUUUUUAUAGACAACUUGUUGACUAUGAUUAGUCUUGUAGCUUACUCGCUUAUGCUAUUUUACCUACGCUUAGGAUGUUGAAGAUGUAGCACAUCAU
rnacentral:rRNA from 1 species